UUUCCGUGGGUGAACCUGCGGAAGGAUCAUUAAUGUGUUUGGGCCUCACGGCUCUUCAUUCCGACGCUGUGCGCCUUCGGGCUGCACGCUGAGGGAGCAUAUAUCCACCCCAGUGCACACACACGGUGGCGAGCUGGGUAACGGCUCGCCGCUGAUCUUUACGCACGUCUAAAGUUAUUGUAUGUUUAUUUGAGAUAAAAACACAACUUUCAGCAACGGAUCUCUUGGCUCUC
rnacentral:misc_RNA from 1 species